CUAAUCCGGGUACAAUAACA
rnacentral:siRNA from 1 species